GAGUGAGUGGCGGACGGGUGAGUAACACGUGGGUAACCUGCCCUAAAGUGGGGGAUAACAUUUGGAAACAGAUGCUAAUACCGCAUAAAACCUAACACCGCAUGGUGUAGGGUUGAAAGAUGGUUUCGGCUAUCACUUUAGGAUGGACCCGCGGUGCAUUAGUUAGUUGGUGAGGUAAAGGCUCACCAAGACCGUGAUGCAUAGCCGACCUGAGAGGUAAUCGGCCACACUGGGACUGAGACACGGCCCAGACUCCUACGGGAGGCAGCAGUAGGGAAUCUUCCACAAUGGACGAAAGUCUGAUGGAGCAACGCCGCGUGAGUGAAGAAGGUUUUCGGAUCGUAAAACUCUGUUGUUGGAGAAGAAUGUAUCUGAUAGUAACUGAUCAGGUAGUGACGGUAUCCAACCAGAAAGCCACGGCUAACUACGUG
rnacentral:rRNA from 1 species